rnacentral:rRNA from 1 species
AUUGAACGCUGGCGGCAUGCCUAACACAUGCAAGUCGAACGGCAGCACAGCAGUAGCAAUACUGUGGGUGGCGAGUGGCGGACGGGUGAGGAAUGCGUCGGAAUCUGCCCAGUUGUGGGGGAUAACUAGCCGAAAGGUUAGCUAAUACCGCAUACGACCGAGAGGUGAAAGCGGGGGACCGUAAGGCCUCGCGCGAUUGGAUGAGCCGACGCCGGAUUAGCNGUUGGUGGGGUAAAGGCCUACCAAGGCGACGAUCCGUAGCUGGUCUGAGAGGAUGAUCAGCCACACUGGAACUGAGACACGGUCCAGACUCCUACGGGAGGCAGCAGUGGGGAAUAUUGGACAAUGGGCGCAAGCCUGA